rnacentral:tRNA from 1 species
GCUCCCAUGGCACAGCUGGAUAGCGCGGCCCCCUCCUAAGGGAUAGGUCACAGGUUCGAAUCCUGUCGGGAGCGCCA